GUUUCCUUUCUCUUUUUAUCACUGUUUCCUUCGAGCAGGUUUCCGUCUUGGACGCUGUUCUGAUUGGUUACUCCGAAGGCUGCUGUUAGCUUCAGUUGAAGAGGAUAUUUGGAGAGUCCCCUUUUGAUUGUGUCAUAUUUAAACAGAAGACAUUUCCCGGGGCCGGAUCGCUGCUGCGGUGAAAACGGAAGGAGUUGUUUACAGAGUGUGUCCGUGUUCAGGAGGCAGCAACGAUUCAACAUCCAACCCCCACGCUCCCCUCCCCCCUGCUCUCCAGGAGCCAUUUUUCGUGCUGAAAAUUCGCUUCGGAAAUGCGGCGGCUAACUGGAAACAACCCCGGCCUGAGGUCUGUCAGUUUUCAUUUUGAAACCAGUUAACAUCUUUACUGCUGGCACAUUAAGUUUCAAGGCGGGCGGAAAUAACGCCCAUGGGUGAGAAAGACCGAGAAGCGAUUCAUCAAUCGGCGCACACAUGGACACCGAAUUGUGAAACGGCUGUUUGAAGACAUCCCCAUUAUUUAUAAACAUCGAGGAAAAUGGUUCGGUCCCCGAGGGCUCAGGAUUGUGAGGGGUUCCUCUUAAGUUUCGUUUGUUAAAUUCGUAAAAGGCUCUGGAGUGAACCUGAAUAUGUAGAAUCACAUAUUGGUGAAAUAUUGAAACGAUUUCAUGUGGCAGUUUUUAACAUUUUAUUAACCGAAAAAUUAUUAAGAAAAUCAAAUUGAUUUAAAGUAGGACUCACAUCAGGUGCGUCAGAUAUUGGCAGAACAUUCAAUUCUGUUUGGAUAUCAGGAAAAAAGGGGUUGUUUUGAUUUAUUUCAAUAAUGAUUUGGAGUCAAAAUGUAAUUGGAACAAACAGCAAAAUGUGAGCCCCGAGGAAAAUGAAUACAAACCUAUAAUAGUGCUGGAUGUUAACAUGCGAGUCGACACAGGCGGCGAGGAAAUCCGUACAUAUCCAGGGUUGGGAUAUUAUCGUGUUCCCAAUAUUCACUUAUUUUAAAUAAUUGUCUUUCUUUCGGGACUGAGAGAUAACAAUCCACGCAUUGAUGCCGCCCCCGAUGAAACAGUGCGAAUACAGUCAGAUUACUACGCAGAGUUCGUCACCCAUGGAGUCUCCCAAAAAGAAGAAAAUUCCGCGGAGGAAAUGGGAAGUUUUCCCGGGAAGAAAUAAAUUUCACUGCGAUGGCAGGAUCAUGAUGGCCAGGCAAACUGGAGUCUUCUAUCUGACACUUGUCUUAAUUGUGGUCACCAGUGGACUUUUCUUUGCAUUCGACUGUCCAUUCCUAGCAGUAACCAUCACACCUGUGAUACCAGCGAUAGCAGGAGUUUUGUUCUUUUUUGUGAUGGGGACGUUGCUCCGUACGAGCUUCAGUGAUCCAGGAGUUCUACCUCGUGCUACGCAAGAUGAAGCAGCAGACCUGGAAAGACAGAUAGAUAUCGCUAAUGGUUCAGGAGGUGGUUAUCGACCUCCCCCCAGAACGAAAGAGGUGAUAAUUAAUGGGCAGACAGUCAAGUUAAAGUACUGCUUUACCUGUAAGAUCUUCCGGCCACCACGUGCCUCUCACUGUAGCCUUUGUGACAAUUGUGUAGAACGAUUUGAUCACCACUGUCCCUGGGUAGGCAACUGCGUGGGAAAAAGGAACUACAGAUUUUUUUAUAUGUUUAUUUUGUCACUGUCAUUUCUGACAGUCUUCAUCUUCGCUUUCGUCAUCACACAUAUCAUUCUCCGAUCUCAGAAGACCGGAUUUCUAAAUGCACUAAAGGACAGCCCUGCAAGUGUGCUGGAGGCGGUUGUUUGUUUCUUCUCUGUAUGGUCAAUUCUUGGCCUGUCAGGAUUUCAUACAUAUCUGAUCAGCUCAAAUCAGACAACAAAUGAAGAUAUUAAAGGAUCCUGGUCAAACAAAAGAAGCAAAGACAAUUACAAUCCAUAUAGCUAUGGGAAUAUCUUCACAAAUUGUUGUGCAGCUCUGUGUGGGCCAUUGCCACCGAGCUUAAUUGACCGAAGAGGAGCGAUCCAGUCAGAUACGCCGCAGUCAGUUGCGGCACCAAAUGGGAUCACCACAUAUGGGGCCACACAAUCUCAGAGCAACAUGUUUUGUUCCCUGCAAAUAGCAAAAGAGGGAAUUGGAUAGCUAUUGGAAAAGGGAUAAAGUAGAGGGCUACAGGCAGAUGGUGGCGGAGCGGCACAAGACUGAUUUUCAUCUCAAGAUUGACAGACUUAACAACUUGAAUAACGAUUAUGGUUAAAAUGAAUGAAAUGUCUAAAUUUAUUCAAAAAAGUUUAAAAUGUAUUUAUAAUGUUUUAAACUAUAUACAUAACAGGUGAAAGCUGCUUAUAAAAUUAAGAUACAACUGUUCUGGUCCCAUUGAAUUUUUCCUCCUUCACACAGGAAAUACAGUAUUAAUUAUGCAUUUGAUUUAAGAUUUCAUUUUGAUUAAAAUAGAAAAAUAUUGCUGGAUGAAAAUGAUGCUUUGUUCUAACCCCUAAGAUACAAGUUUUGUUUUGUGCUUGUCAUAAAUAUCUUGAAUUUCCCUGGCGGUUUUUCCAAUUUUCCAUUGUAAGUUUAGCUGAAACCGUAUUCAAAUAGCACCAUUUUUCUGGAUUUUUUUACUGACGGAGAUUGGGUAAUUCCUGCAAAAAUUCUACCUCAUAAACCUUUACACUGUACCUCACCAUGUUUAGUAGGUACAGUCCUCUCUGCACCUCUGAUUGUGCUUGAAGAUAUUGUAAUGUUCCCCUGUUAUGACUGUUAGUGAACACUGCUUGGGGUCGGGUAAUUCCAGCAUCCUCUGCCUUGUUUCCUUUUCAAUGAAAGCAGGAGUUGUUUAAAUCACCCCACACCCUAACUUGACUUCCUAGACAUGCAAUGAUUGUGAAAAGUAUGACUAUGAAAACACAAUUAACAUUCCAGGGCAGGCAAGCCAAUCAGCAGGAAUAGUGAUUCAGUAACUAGCAAAGACAUAUAAGCAUUAUUGGGAGGGACGUAGAAUCAUGAGAAAAGUGCUGUUUUAUAUAUGGCCACUGCAUCCCUAGGAAUGCUUUAGCUGAAAUGCCGAUUUUUUUUUAAAAUAGGUUUUUAUCUUCUAAGAGGAAUCUAUACCUGCUUCUACUCAUUUCCAAGAUAUGUAUUAUUACUCGGUUUUUGAAAAAAUGCAUCAUAUCAAAUUAUUUACUAGUAAUCUUCAAAUACCGAAAUAUUAUAAACACAUGACAGUACAUACAAAAUGUAGAAAUUGGCCAAUUCUAGAUUGUUGGUGACCAAUGAUGUCCAGUAUUAUCAGUGCUAUUUUUUUGUGAUCUAAUUUGAGUUGAAAUAACCAUACAAUUACUUUGAAAUGGUAAACAAUUGAAGCUAUAUUUGUCCUUAAUUUAAAAAUAUAAUUUUAUGGAAUCAUAGAAACUUACAGCACUGAAGGAGCCAUUUGGCCCAUCAUUCCUGUGCUGGUUUUUUGAAAGAGCAGUCAUGCUUAAUCCCACAGCCCCACUUUUUGUCUAUAACACUAAGUUCCACAUCCCCAAGCACUGUCCAACUCAUUUUGAAUCUGACCUCAGGCUAUUGACCACUCGCCAAGGGAAUAAUUUUUCUCUAUCUAAAACUCUCAUCUUAAAAACCUCUGUUGGGCCACCUCCUAACUUUCUCUGUGCCAAGGAGAACAGACCUAACUUUUCCAACCUGUCCUCAUAAGGUCUCUCAUCUUUGCUGAUAUCCUCAGGCCUCCUCUGUAUCCUUUCUAAGGCCUUUACAUCUUACCUGAAGUUUGAUGCCCAGAAUUAUCCACAGUACUUCAGCUGAGACUUGACCAAUUCUAGCACGAUCGCUGUGCUUUUAUACUCUAUUCUCCUAUUUAUAAAUACAAAGAACCCAUAUUAUUUUUAACUACCUUAUCAAUCUCCCCUGCCACCUUUGGGAAUUUGUGUAUAAGGACCCCAAAGUCUCUCGGUUCAUCUACACAUUUCAAAAUCGUGCCAUUUAUAGUACACUGCCUUUCCAUAUUAGUCCUCCCAAAGUGCUCCACUUCCCUCUUCUCUGCAUUAAACUCUACCUACCAUAUUUCUGCUCAUUUCACCAUCUUGUCUAUGUCAUUCAUAAGCCUAUAACAAUCCUUAUUGCUACCUCCUACUUUGCCAGAUUUUAUAUAAUCUGCAUAUAGCAGCCAAAAGAAAAUGUUUUUUUAUAAUCAAAACUAGUAACAUGGAUUUAUGUGCCAAAUUCAAUUCAAAACCAUUACUUCAUCUCAUGCAUUAAAAUAUGAUUUAUUAAAUUCUUCACAAUCUCAGAAUUGUUACAGCACAGAAGGAGGCCAUUUGGCGCCUCAUGUCUGCACUGGCUCUCCAUAGGAGUAAUUUACCUGGUGCCACUCCCCCGCCUUCUGCCCGUAGCCUUCCACAUUCUCCAUUUUCAUAUAUCUAUCCAAUCCCCUCUUGAAUGUCUCGAUUGAACCUGCCUCCACCAAACAGUAAAACUUUAUGUUAAGAGGAUCAACUGGGAGUGGCAAAUCUGAAAAAUGCCAACACACUGAAGGAUUGAUGUUAAAAUAUUGGCUUUCCCAAGUUUAUUUAAUCAGUAGCUGAGUCAUACAGACCAGGAAGGUUGCAAAUUCAAUCCCAAAUAUGUUCUGUUUGCUGAUCUUAGCUGCGGUAGAGAUAGGAGCACUGAAAUUGGAUUCAGCAUCCUUAUCUAGGCAGAAAUAAAGAGUAGCCUAUCAGUUAUAGUUAUAUAACCAGCCAACACUUACCUUUGAGGCUUAUAUUUGAAUAGUGGCUAUUCAUGAUGGCACCAGAGGGCAACUACCACAUAUGAAACUGCUCCAAGUAGGACUGAACACAUUUAAGAGAGUAGAAAAUUGGCAAUAAGAAUAUGAUAUUUUUUAACAAAUAUAAGGAGAGUAGUCAUACCAUCCAUUUAUUUAGCUGUUGUUUAUGUGCCUGUAGGCAACAGUGUAGUGCCACUGAGAACAUUCUAAAGCCAGUAAUAAUAAUGGCAAAUAUUUAUGAUACACUUACAGUUUUUGUUUGACAAGUUGUAAUUUUUUGCAUGAAAAUUGCAUGUAUUUUUUAGCAAUAAAUCUGCAUGUUUGUUGAAUUAAA